ensembl:lncRNA
UCCACAACAAUUCAGUACAAGUUUUGUAAUGCCAUUGGAGUUUUGAGUCUGAGCCCCAUGGUCUCUCUGCUGCAGUCUGAUGCUGGUUGAGGUAUAAAGAGAUGACCAAAUGCAAAGCUUGGUUUACUGAAAAUUUUAAGCUAAGUAGACAUUGGAGCAGCCCUUGAUCUUCUGCAAGUGAGAGAAAGUAUUUCUGAAAGGUUUUUAAGUUAAGACUCUGACCAGACAGAAGAGACUGCUAGCCCACUGUAACAGUGAUUCCCAGAUCUUCUUGUGCUUCUGGGUUUGCAAAACUAAGCUCUUAUGGCUGCAAUCAAUUCACACAUACAGGCCUAGUGAUCUCUGCCAUUCAUCACUUAAAAGGCUGACAGUGGACUUCCCAUUAUAUGCAUUUUGGUUUUAAUUGGGGGUUUUUUCAUUCUUCUGACAGAGAUAUGUGGAAUUUGGAAUGACUCCUCCAACAGCACCAGGUCUCCUACCAAGGCAGAACUUUGGGCCAGGUUUUCUUCAACCUGCAGAAUUAAUGCACCCAGACCAGCAGCCACCUGAGGUUCAGUAUUCCUCCAGAGGGAUAUACUCAGAGGAAAUGCCAUCAGUGGCACGGCCACGACCAGUUGGAAGCACUGCAGGUACACUUCACUUAAGUCGAAUGUGCACUAAAAUAACUGAUCCUUUUCCAUAUCUACUCUUACACUGAGGUCACCAUUAAGAUGUUAUUCUUCUUCAGCUACUACACUUGAAAUGUGGUCCUUGUCUUUACUGCCAAAAAAAAUGAUCACAAAGUGUGGUUAACUUCACAUUCAUUGGACCUUGCAGAAAAAGGCAAUGCUUUGCCACUUUUUUAGUGUCUUACCAGCAUUGGAUAUCACACAGCGUAUUUUCAAAACAACCCAUUCUCUUAAGAAUGUAAGAUUACUUAAUUGCUUCAGAGCGUACAGUGUAUGCUAACUUUCCACUGCCGACUAUUUCUUUUGUGCUAACUGAUGCAUCCCAAAUCAGUCUGCUAAAUACCAAAUUUUUUAAUGUUUUUCUGCAUCUUUUUUUCUCAUUUCUCUUCCUAGAAAUGUAUGCAUAAAAGCAGGAUCUUUUAGGUGCUGAUGAUAUUAUCUAUUGCUGCUGUCCCGUAUGAAAUCACCUUCCCUGAUUCGGUUGUGAGACAAUUUCCAUAGCACUCAUCAACGCUAUCAUCAAUAAGAUUCUAACAUCACAUGGCACUUAAGCAGCAAACACUGAUUCUAAGAAUAAAAGAUUCUAUUCUUAUGCAAAUGCCACAGUUAAUUUUCUCCCAGUGAAAUGUUUUCUUCCUGGGGAGUUGAAAAAGACUGGAAAUCUGAUUGUAUACUCAUGUCAGAGUCGUAGUUUUGAUAGCUGCUGUCCUCUCCCUGUAAAUGUUAAAUGAGUGAGAGUGACAGGGAUGUAGUGACUGUUACAGUUUAAUGUUUUAAUUUUAUUGUCUGAUUCACACUGUUCUCUAAAUGUUCAUGUAUAUUUUGCUUUGAAGUUUGGAGGCAAUUCAGAUGAUUAAUUCCUGUCCUUCAGCAUAAUUAUGUGCAAAUAUCAAACUUCGCAAAUAUUGGGGGAUUUUUGAGAGGAAAAUAAGAAAGUGACCUACCUGUCCAUCACGUAAAUCACACUGUUGUUUUUGUCUUUUCCUCCCUUUUUGUACAUACACUUGUGCACACACGCACAGAUUUUCUCUUAUGUUUCUGUGGGUUAUUAAAUGUGUUUCAUUUCUAAUGAAUAAUUAAAUAUAAUGAUAAUAAAAUAAAUCGUGUUUCCCUGUGGGAGGAAAUUCAGGAAAAAGGAAAGCUGGCAUGUUGUUACAUGUCUCUUGCAAUUAACGGCGGUGGCUAUCCUUGGAUGUGUUUUGAAAACAGCAGGAGGGGAGGGAAGGGAAAGGAGGAGGUUAGCUUUCAGGCUGAAAGGAGAUACAGUGUGUUCUGACCUUCUCGUUAGUCAACGACAGCAUUGUUUAAUAUUUAACCACAAAGCAAGGCUGAAAGAACUGUACUCUUACAUAGUCAUGUAUUUUAUUCUUUUGAGAGAUGGAAUAGAAAGCAGUCAGGAGAGUUAGGGUUUUGCCAGUGUGAUGCAAAAAAGGUGUACCACAGGAGCAAAUGUCUUCUCUUUGCUGCUAAGUAAUUUACAUGAAAGCAUUGCCAGGGCUUUCAGUAAACACUGCUUGGAAAGGGCUGGCAUAUUUUUGAAAUGAAGUGUAGUCCCGUGUCUGAGAUGCAUGUAUCUCAACCUCUUCUUUCAGUGCAGUGGCAAUGAAAAGCAUCACACUCAAAUGAACUGCACAAAAUGCACAUAACUUUUCCUUCUUUAUUCUACACUGACAACCUUCCUUCUGCUGAUUUUUUAUUAAUUGCACAGAAACAGAGCUCCAAUUUCUUCUUCUCUCCUGCUUCCAACAAAGUUUUAUGUUGUCAUUUGUCUGCCCUACAAACUUGAUGUGUAUAAAGAUGAAAAAACAAUAUUUGCUUUUAAGGUUCUCAGAUACAGCACCUCACUCAGGUGGGAAUUGCUAGCAGGAUCGGAGGUCCACAAGUGGAGAUCCCCUCAGGCAGAGCAGGGCAUGGCCAGCCGGGGGGGCCAGGGUGGCCCCAGUACCGUGGAGAGGAUGAAUAUGCUAGGCGAGAUGCAGUGAGUACUGUGUUACACAUUUGCAUAGUUUCCGAAGUAGUGAUAUGUUCGGGUAUUUUUUUUUCUGCAUUACUGUUUGGAACCUUUUCCCCCGGAAUACUUUCAGUUGCUUCUCUGACAUUCUUUGCUUUGCUCUUCAAACCCUCGUUAGCUCUUCUAACUUUUGCUUGCUGUUCUUUCACCUUUGCUUCUCUCUAACUGCUUUCUCUCACUUUACCCUAACCCUUUUUUUUUUUCUCUCACUUGAGGCCUUCACCCAUUAAUUGCAGUUCACCCAGUUCUGCUUCUGAGCUCCAGCAGAGGUGGAUACUGCUUUCCAUUUCCUUCUUUGAAAUAUGCCUCUGUAUUUUGAGAUCAUUGUAAGUAGAAAACAUUGAAUUAAAUUGUCCCAGACUACUGUCCUACUUUGUAUUGGUAUAGUUCUUUUGUCUUCUGUAUUAGUGCGCAACAGCAGGAGUCAGGGCAAUGGAAUAAGGUACAUACUUCCACAUAACAGUAGAGGUGUUUCUAAACGAGUUAUUUUCCUAGCCUCUGUCAGCAGGAUGUGGUAAAUUAUGUCUUUGUUUACCAGUGUUGCCUAGGCAGCCAUCGUGAUUUCAUGUUCUUGGCAGUGGUGCUUCUAGAGGUUGACGUUUCUGAUUCAACCAGAUGUGUGAGGUUGAAGAUAGUAUAUGGCCUUUCCAGGAAAGAUACAGUUGCCUGCUAUCAGUCUGUUUGAUGUACUUGCAUCCUGAAGCAAAGUGACCUGUGACAGCUUUAUUGUAGUACUCCUGAGAGUGACAACUUUAUGUUCCUUCUUUUGCUCCUUUGCUUAAACUAUCAUUUUUUCUGGUUCCUUCCUUGAGGGAGGAAGGAAGGAUCUUCUUUUGCAUACUUAGGGCAAUGUGUGUUCGCACUACUUGAAGUUGCUUUGCAGUAUUGCAUGAUUUCAAAAUGGCUUUGCAGAAAGGAAAUGCAACAGCAUGGGCUUUAUCUUUAGAAUUUGGUGAAACUGAGCUGCCACCGCUCCAGAUGAACUUGGGAGGAGCAGCAUAAAGCUUUUGAGAAUUGGGCACACUAGAGACAAACUCUACCGAUACUAUUCAAAAACCUUAACUGUCAAAGCCGAUAGAUUUGCCUAAUUUAACUUGCUAUCUGUGCUUGGAACUGUGGUAUUUGAGUGCAAGAACAUCAUGAUUUGCAUUUACCUCUAGAAGAGCACUUGCAUGAGAGAUCUUAGUGUCGCUGCUGUUUCAUUUUCAGAGGCAUUUCUAGGUUAUCAUUCAUUGCCCCUUCUUAUCAUUUGUCUUUUCUGAAAAUGACUUUUCUUUUCUGGAUGUGUGGGCCUUUUCCCUUCUGUCCCACGAGUGCAUGUUCAGCCAUUACUUUCUUAAUAUUUUAUUACUUCAGUUGCUAACAUAUCACUGAAAAAUCAGUUAUGGACCCAUUAUCUGAGAUGCUAUGCAAACAGUUUGUUUUGACAUCAGUUACCUGCACAAUUUUCAAAGAUUCAUGGCUCAGUACAGUAUGAUUUGGUUGCAGUUUGCGCUUUCAGUCACCAUUUCACAUGGGUGCAUGCCACCUGAAUCCAGGUUGACUUUUAAUUAAUCAGAGUUUAAACACAUCGGCUUUGACAGAACUUUUUGCUUGCUAGUUGCUUUAGUUCAUAUGUUACUGCAAUGUGAUUUUUUCAGUUCUUUUUUUUUAAAAAGAAAAAAGCAAAAGGAGGAGAUCAUGGACUAAAACUGAGUAUGGUGUCAUUUACUUGUAGGAGAGCUCACCUAGUGCCUGCAUUUUCUUUUUCUUAUGAGGAAUUCUUUCUUUUUGGCAAAGGAUUAUUCCCAUUUAAAAAAAAAGCAUUAUUAGAUGAGCCCUAGUCUUGUAGUUUUCUGUAGUUAAAUAAUUACCUUCAGAAUUUGGAUUCUUUCACCUAGACAGAGCUCUAAAUUUGUUUUUCCUCCUUAAUGACAGUCAUGUUCCUUGUGGUGCAGCAUUCAACUGAUCCUUUGCAAACAGUCUUACUGUUCCCUCAUUCUGAGUGAUUUUCUAACAUUGAAUGCUGCAUUUAGGAAGGUUAGGUCUAGAGCAUUCUUCUCACCUGCAAACUCGAGAGGGAUCUGCAUUUGUGUUCCUGCAAUGGCCCUUUCCCUCACAGUAUCCUCACCUGUUAUUCCAGCAGUCAAC